AUCCAGCUGACGAGUCCCGAAUAGGACUUAACAUACGUCCUGGAU
rnacentral:hammerhead_ribozyme from 1 species